rnacentral:rRNA from 1 species
UGGGGAAUUUUGGACAAUGGGCGAAAGCCUGAUCCAGCAAUGCCGCGUGUGUGAAGAAGGCCUUCGGGUUGUAAAGCACUUUUGUCCGGAAAGAAAUCCUUGGCUCUAAUACAGUCGGGGGAUGACGGUACCGGAAGAAUGAGCACCGGCUAACUACGUGCCAGCAGCCGCGGUAAUACGUAGGGUGCAAGCGUUAAUCGGAAUUACUGGGCGUAAAGCGUGCGCAGGCGGUUUGCUAAGACCGAUGUGAAAUCCCCGGGCUCAACCUGGGAACUGCAUUGGUGACUGGCAGGCUAGAGUAUGGCAGAGGGGGGUAGAAUUCCACGUGUAGCAGUGAAAUGCGUAGAGAUGUGGAGGAAUACCGAUGGCGAAGGCAGCCCCCUGGGCCAAUACUGACGCUCAUGCACGAAAGCGUGGGGAGCAAACAGGAUUAGAUACCCUGGUAGUCCACGCCCUAAACGAUGUCAACUAGUUGUUGGGGAUUCAUUUCCUUAGUAACGUAGCUAACGCGUGAAGUUGACCGCCUGGGGAGUACGGUCGCAAGAUU